AUGCAUUUUCAUCUGAAAUUUGACAGUAUGACAAUGUUUGCUAUUCAAAUCAUUAAUAGCUGCAGUGGCAAUAACCUAACUCCUAUUGGCUGUGUCUGCUGUCAAUUUGCCAUUGCUUCUAUGUGCUGUGAUGUGCUGGGCAAGGCUGAAGAGAAACUGUUAGAAGUUUGGGAAAGGAAGGGAAAGUGCUGGCAAUGUGCUUUAGAGACUUCAACUGUGCACAAGCAGAGAGGAUCCUGUUAAUAAUUUGGGCGGGGAAGGGGUUGCGAGCUGGGGAUAGGCAUUUCCUUAGGGCCGUAACUUCCUCCCCUCGUUAGCGAUGCGGAGCCUUCGCUGGGAGCAGUCAUCGGAUCCCCAGUACUUUAACCAAUGCGGCUGGGCGACAUGCCGUCCCUAAAAUAUUGCCGCCCUAAGCCCAGGCCUUUGUGGCCUUGCAACAGAUCCGGGCCACCCUUCAUUGAAUCAUUAUUAUGUUCUUAAAUCUAUUGAUUGUGAACAAUAAACUCAUUAUCAUGUUA